rnacentral:rRNA from 1 species
UACAGAGGUGGCAAGCGUUGUCCGGAAUUAUUGGGCGUAAAGAGCGCGUAGGCGGUCUGAUAAGUCGGUUGUGAAAGUCGGGGGCUCAACCCUCGGAUGCCGAUCGAUACUGUCAGGCUAGAGUCCGGAAGAGGCGAGUGGAAUUCCUGGUGUAGCGGUGAAAUGCGCAGAUAUCAGGAGGAACACCAAUGGCGAAGGCAGCUCGCUGGGACGGUACUGACGCUGAGGCGCGAAAGCGUGGGGAGCAAACAGG